UUCUCUUUAAAAUACCCAUCAAGAAUUUUAGCUAUAACUAAGAGCUUGCAAGUAAGAUAUAUAAAUUUAAUUCAUAAAAACUCCACACCCCUGUUAACAAGUAAUGACCAGGUCACACAUCUGGAAUUAUAUACAAAAAUAAUUUAUUGAGAGGAAGUGGUAGUGACAUUAUGACUUUGUAGAUGAGAAACCAACUACAGCAAGAUUAAAAUCCCAUUACAUUUUCUUGAUGCCAUAUACACAUAGCAGGAAAAGGAAAGCCGGUAAAACAGAGUCUUGUUACACAAAAGAAUGGUAAGAACUUAAAGACUCAUACUACAUUCUUAGUGCAUAUUUGAAGACAAAAUAGGUAGUUUUAUAGUAAGCAGUAAAAGGUGCAUGGGAAAGGACAAACAGGAGGCAUUACGUAUCACAUAUUACAUUUCCGAUUCUGCAUCGACACCAAUCAUUCUUCAUGUUCACAAAUUUAAUUCCUUAUAUUACACUACUUGAACCCUAAUUAUCCUAAUUCAGUAGCACAACAAAUCCGAAAAUUUAACAUACACAAACACACAGUAAAAGCAGCACAACAGAUGACGGUAAAUAACAGUACAAUCCUUUCAAAACAAAUAACUUAAAUCAAAUUCUGGCGCAAAAAUGUAACUAAUAUUCUUUAACAUCAACUUAAUUAUCUCAAAUAUUCCAUAUAAAUUGAUUAUUGCAUACUUGUAUAUCCUACAAUAGAUUUCAACAAUGUACAAAUUCUAUCGGAACUAAGAUCAAACAGUGCGAGUGCUCGAGAAAGGCCUCGUAGUUUAAAAAGUUAUGGAAUCAAGAACAAAACAUAAUUAGAUAAAGAAAUCACCUGAUUGUGCGUCUCAAUCAUCACCACAUCACAUAAGCCCUCGCCCAAAGACAGAAGGUCUGUUGAUGCACCGAGCGCACCUCCGAUCAAAUACAAUAAAAUUGGCGUGGAUUCAGACAGAAGUGAAAACCAGACUGAAGAAACGGGAGAAGGAAAGAUAGUAGUGGCUGGUUCGGUCCAGACAAUAGAGGAUCGGAGAGGUAUUACUGUCAAUUCAAUUGGAACUGAAAUCAUGAAAAGAGAAGUUUACAGGUUUGGAGGGGGUGUUUAUGUCUUUUUAAUAAGAAUUAAUUUGCUCAGGAGAAAGAGCUGUUCUGGUAUAAUAGAUAUCACAUUUCUCUUUAAAAUACCCAUCAAGAAUUUUAGCUAUAACUAAGAGCUUGCAAGUAAGAUAUAUAAAUUUAAUUCAUAAAAACUCCACACCCCUGUUAACAAGUAAUGACCAGGUCACACAUCUGGAAUUAUAUACAAAAAUAAUUUAUUGAGAGGAAGUGGUAGUGACAUUAUGACUUUGUAGAUGAGAAACCAACUACAGCAAGAUUAAAAUCCCAUUACAUUUUCUUGAUGCCAUAUACACAUAGCAGGAAAAGGAAAGCCGGUAAAACAGAGUCUUGUUACACAAAAGAAUGGUAAGAACUUAAAGACUCAUACUACAUUCUUAGUGCAUAUUUGAAGACAAAAUAGGUAGUUUUAUAGUAAGCAGCAAAAGGUGCAUGGGAAAGGACAAACAGGAGGCAUUACGUAUCACAUAUUACAUUUCCGAUUCUGCAUCGACACCAAUCAUUCUUCAUG
rnacentral:lncRNA from 1 species